CACUGCUCCACUCCAAGUCCAGCAAUGAGUACGGUAGUACAGACUUGGCCCAUAGAGGGUGAAAGGCCCGUGGGGGUGGAGAUUCAGGCAGGUUAGUGUCUCUCUGGAUAGACCUUGGAGUCGGGUUGUUUGUGAAUGCAGCCCAAAGCGGGUGGUAAACUCCAUCCAAGGCUAAAUACUAGCACGAGUCCGAUAGCGAACAAGUACCGUGAGGGAAAGUUGAAAAGUACUUUGAAGAGAGAGUAAACAGUGCGUGAAACCGCUCAGAGGUAAACGGGUGGAGUUGAACUGCAAGCCUUGAGAAUUCAGCUGGUGAGUGUGGUUUGAGCUUGGUCAAAUUGGUUGUACUCUGGGGUCUGCGUAGUAGCAGGUCUCUGCCUUCGGGUGGGGAUGUACGAAUCGCUUAUCAAGCGUUGUGCGCCUUAGUUGUAUUCAGGCCUGCUUGCCAGUGCACUUUCUCUUGGUGUUCACCACGACCGGCACUGCUGUCUGACUGUUGUGGUUAAACCGGUCUUGCAUUGUCCUUGUGGCUUUGUUUGGUCGGGACGGCAGGUAGCUCGUUGGCUAGUCUGGGGUAACCUGGGCAAUUGGUCUUCGGGUGUAAUCAGCUGACCAUGAUGGUUCUGUGCAGUGUGUCGGAGACGGCGGCUUGUUGUGUGAGCGCGCGUGCCUUGUCUUCUGACUUGUUUGGGUUUGAUUGCUAUGUUGCUUGUUCUGCAGGCCUAGUGAUAUCCUGAGCAUGUUUGGUUGGCGGUGGCGUGUGUGACACUAAUACAGGGCCAAUAGUCUGUGGUGUAGUGGUAGACUAUCCACCCGACCCGUCUUGAAACACGGACCAAGGAGAGUAACAUGUAUGCGAGUCAUUGGGCGUAACGAAACCCACAGGCGCAGUGAAAGUGAAGGUCUGGCUAGUCCGGACUGAGGUGAGAUCCUGUCGUGUCUCACGCAAGGUACUUCCAAGCAUUGAACGGCAGGCGCAUCACCGGCCCGUCCCAUGGCUUAGUCGCAAAUCUUGUAUUG
rnacentral:rRNA from 1 species